rnacentral:lncRNA from 1 species
AAUUAUGGAAUCUUAUGAUUAUUUAAAGCAAUAAUGGAUAACACUAUUCCUAUAUUACUUUGUCCUUGCUCUAUUACACAAAAGAGAUUUUUUUUUUUUUUGGUCUCUCAAGACAGGGUUACUCUGUAUGUAACCCUGGCUGCCCUCGAACUAGGUCUGUAGAUCAUGCAGGCCUUGAACUCAGAGAUCUGCCAACUUCUACCUCCCAAAUGCUUAUGUCACCACUGCCUGGCUGAAACCAGACAUUUUAAAGAGUGAGACAAAAAACAGACAAGUGAGUACAUCUCCUAAGACGAUGUUUAUCAAAGGCUAUGAAGUUAAAGUGAUUAUGAAACUGACAAUAUAAACUGGGAAAAUUAGUAUAAUUUUAUUAGUGUAACCUUUAAUCUUAUUUUAUUUAGAAAUCAUUUUAUCUUUGAGAAUUUCACAGAUCAUAUUUUGAUUAUAUUCACAUACAUGUGCACACACAACUCCUCCCAGAACCAUCCUCUCCUCUCUCACCGCUCUUUGAGUCUUACUCUUCCCUCCCUUCCUGUCCAGUCCAGUGGGUGUUACCUAACUACUCUCUGGAGUAUGGCUGACCUACCAUUCCUCUGGUUUAUAAAACAAAUUGCUCCCAACCAAGAGUGGUGGUGGGGGAUGAGACAGGACUAUGUAGGGUGGCAAGGAGUAGUUUGUGCUUACAUGGCAAAAUCAUUCUAGCACUGUCUACCUUUCAAAAAUCCAACCCUUCCUGCUUCCCUGACUUCAUUUCCUCAGAUGUGAAGGUGUCAAGCUCAAGUCCCAGACACAACAACAAACAUUUCAAACCAGAACCAAACUGUCUUAACUACUUCUCUAUUCCUGUGACAAACACCAUGGCUAGGACAACGUAGAAGAAAGUGCACAUUAGGGCUUACAGUGUUAGAGGGUUAGAGUCCAUGACCAUCAUGGAAGGAAGAAUGGCAGCAGACAGGUAGGCACGAUGCCUGAGAAGUAGCUGAGAGCUCACAUCUUGAGACAGCCAUGAGGGAGGGAGGGAAACAGGGAGGCAAGGAAGGAGGGAUGAGUGGACAGGGGUGGGCAGAGAGACAGAGAGAGAGGUGAGAGGUUGGGCAUGACCCACAUCUUUUGGAACUUCAAAGCCUAACCUCUGUGGCACACUUCCUCCAACAAGGCCACACCCUCUAGUCCUUCCCAAACAGUUCCAGCAAGUAGAGACCAAGUAUUCAAAUCUAUGAGCCUAUGGGAGCCACUCUCAUUCAAACCACACACACACAGAAAAUUCAGGCAAUGGUAAGACAGACAUGUCUUGAAUAAAAAUAGGACUCUUAUCAACUUUUAACCUGAAGAAAUACAUCUUGAGCUCCAACCUUGUAGUUACAAGUAUCAGUCAUUUUAAUACAACCUGUUUCACUUUCAUUGCCGUUUCAACCAAAACAGUUCUGUCAGUGAGAAAGCCAACGAUUGAGCAAGCAAUCCUAGAGACAAAGUUAUAUUUCAGAAAGUUCCAGGCUUUGCCUGCACCAAGCAUGGAGUUAGUCGGGUAAAAUUAUAAGACAUGACGUCAGAACGGGUUGAAGAGAGAUUACCAAGAGCCUUAUCAUCAGGCUGAUAACAAAUGGAGCUCUGGGAGAAGCUGCAAGCUACACUGUGUGUUAGGCACUGCUUAGUCUCCCCUUGUGUUCUUUCUUUAUCCUUCAUAAGCAGGGCUGCUGCACAGUAACCAUGGAAACCGUUGUCACUUCCGUCAUAGUCAGGGUUUCAUUGAAGUGAAGGGACCCCACAACCAAGGUAACUUUUUUUUAAAGAUUUAUUUAUUUAUUUAUUUAUUUAUCUAUUUAUUUACUUUAUGUAUAUGAGUACACUGUAUCUAUACAGAUGGUUGUGAGCCACCAUGUGGUUGCUGGGAUUUGAACUCAGGACCUUUGGAAGAGCAGUCAGUGCUCUUACCAGCUGAGCCAUCUCACCAGCCCCAAGGUAACUCUUAUAAAGAAAACAUUUCACUGGGGCUGGCUUACAGUUUCAGAGUUUCAGUCCAUUAUCAUCAUGGUGGGAAGCAUGGCAGUGUCCAGGCAGGCAUGGUGCUGGAAGAGCUGAGAGUUCCACAUCUUGAUCGGAAGACAGCCUGGAAGAGGGUCUUUUCCACACUGGGUGGAGUGAGCACUAGUAGACCUCAAAGCCCACCUACAGAGUUACACACUUUCUCCAACAAGGCCAUAAUGCCUAAUCGUGCCACUUCCCAUGGGCCAAUUAUAUUCAAACCACCACAGUCCC